CAUUUUCUCUUGCUGCCGCCAGGUAAGAAGUGCCCUUCACCUUCUGAGGCCUCCCCAGCCAUGUGGAACUGUCCUCUCAGAUCUACCAUGUGAGUGCACACAUCCUUCCAGUCAACCAGAGAUUCUGUGCAUUUCUUCUGGAGAGAUCUGAUGCACAGUGAUAACUCGGCGAUACCUACACAAACUGUAGGCCAUUUUCCAGUGAUUGAAGCCACUGUUCUGGAAAGGAUGUAUGCCCAGCUUUCGAAGACACAGUCCCACAUAUACGUCUUCAAGGUGAAGCAGCCUUGUGUGGAGUGAGGUCUUGUAAAUGAGUUCAGCUACAUCGGCUGAAAAGAUGUAGCCAGUCCCCGAACAGAAAGGUGGGGUCGCUUUGGGACUCUGAGAUUCUCACGCAGGAAGUUUACUGGAGCAUGUUCUUAGGAACAACACCUGUCUCUAAUGUGAGAGGAGAAAGAAGAAGGCAAAGGGAGAGUCUGAACCUUGAUGCAGUCACAGCACAGACCUGAGCUGACCCUGCAGGGAGCUCUGGGGCUGGGAUGGUUCUGCAGAGUCCAGUGCGUGCCAGGCCAGCUUGCAUGGGCUUGGGCAGAGCUGGUGGUGCGCACUUCUUCCCAACUUCACAUUCAAUGACAUCAUGUUGAUAUCUUGAAACUGGUGGCACAUACGUUUAUAACACAAAAAUAGGCAAUGCUAGAAACCAGGGGUUCUCCCACUUCCCUUGCCUAGAAAGCUGGUUUGCCAGAAAAGCCACAGUGAAGAAAGAUUGCUUCCAUAUCUAUCUCUGUGCCCAAAUUCAUGCAAUAAAUUCUUCGCUGUUGUUUGUUGUUGUUUUUG
rnacentral:lncRNA from 1 species